AAACUGGGAUUAGAUACCCCACUAUGCCUAGCCAUAAACAUUGAUAGUAUUUUACACCCACUAUCCGCCCGGGUACUACGAGCAACAGCUUAAAACCCAAAGGACUUGGCGGUGCUUUAGACCCACCUAGAGGAGCCUGUUCUA
rnacentral:rRNA from 1 species